UGGUGGUGUAAUGAUGGUGAUGUGGUUGGGUGAUGAAGAUGGUGGUGGUGAUGAUGAUGGUGAUGUGGUUGGGUGAUGAAGAUGAUGGUGGUGGUGUAAUGAUGGUGAUGUGGUUGGGUGAUGAAGAUGGUGGUGAUGAUGGUGGUGGUGUAGUGAUGGUGGUGUGGUUGGGUGAUGAAGAUGAUGGUGGUGGUGUAAUGGUGAUGUGGUUGGGUGAUGAUGAUGAUGGUGGUGGUGUAAUGAUGGUGAUGUGGUUGGGUGAUGAAGAUGAUGGUGGUGUAAUGAUAGUGAUGUGGUUGGGUGAUGAAGAUGAUGGUGAUGAUGAUGGUGGUGGUGAUGAUGAUGAUGGUGGUGUAGUGAUGGUGAUGUAGUUGGGUGAUGAAGAUGGUGGUGGUGAUGAUGAUGGUGUGAUGAUGAAAUGCUGAUGCUUCUGAUGAAGAUGCUGAUGGUGUUGGGUGAUGACAAUGGAAAUGAUGGAGUUCACUCUGGUGUUGAUGAUGAAGACUAAGGUGUGGCUGAUGGUAAUGAUGACGACGGAGAUGGUGAUGGUCAUGAUGAUGAUGAUGAUGAUGAUGGUGUACGUGUCACCCUGAUGGUGUUGGUUGUGUCGGAGUUGACUGGUUAUGAUGGUGUUAGUGAUGAAGAUGAAGGUGAUGAAGAUGAAGGUGAUGAAGAUGAAGGUGUGGGUGAUGAAGAUGAAGGUGUCAGUGAGGAAGAUGAAGGUGUGGCUGGUGUGGUGGUAGCAGUGUUGACGGUGCUGUGUAAUGCUGAUGGUGUUUGAUGGUGUUGAGUGGGGUUGCUGGUGAACACGGUGUGUGUGAUGAAGAUGAAGGUGUGGGUGAUGAAGAUGAAGGUGUGGGUGAUGAAGAUGAAGGUGUCAGUGAGGAAGAUGAAGGUGUGUGUGAUGAAGACGAAGGUGUCAAUGAGGAAGACGAAGGUGUGGGUGAUGAAGAUGAAGGUGUGGGUGAUGAAGAUGAAGGUGUCAGUGAGGAAGAUGAUGGUGUGGAUGAUGAAUAUCGUGAUGACAAAGGUGAUGGCGAUGAUGGUAUUGAUGAUGAAUGUGAAGGUGUGGGUGAUGAAGA
rnacentral:lncRNA from 1 species